rnacentral:misc_RNA from 1 species
GAUGAAGAACGCAGCGAAAUGCGAUAAGUAAUGUGAAUUGCAGAAUUCAGUGAAUCAUCGAAUCUUUGAACGCACCUUGCACCCUUUGGCAUUCCGAAGGGUAUGCUCGUUUGAGUGUCAUUGUACUCUCACACUCUCCGAACCUAUGGAUUCGGGGAGCGGUGGACUUGGGUGUUGCUGCCUUUCCUUGUGGCUCACCUCAAAUGUGUCAGUGCACCUCUUGGUUGGACAUAGUACGGCGUGAUAAGUGUCUUCGCCGGCACCUCGCAAGAGGGUGGCCGAUCGGGAGCUCUGUGCUUUCAAACCGUCUUCGGACAAUUUCUGACAACUUGACCUCAAAUCGAGUAGGACUACCCGCUGAACUUAAGCAUAUCAAUAAGCGGAGGA